AUACAACUGGGGCGGUUCGAUAUCUAAGAUAUUACAAGCAUCUAACAACAGCUUGUGUAAAUCGGGCAGUUGUUUU
rnacentral:tRNA from 1 species